rnacentral:rRNA from 1 species
UACGAAGGGUGCAAGCGUUAAUCGGAAUUACUGGGCGUAAAGGGUGCGUAGGCGGUUGUUUAAGUCUGUCGUGAAAUCCCCUGGCUCAACCUGGGAAUGGCGAUGGAUACUGGGCAGCUAGAGUGUGUCAGAGGAUGGUGGAAUUCCCGGUGUAGCGGUGAAAUGCGUAGAGAUCGGGAGGAACAUCAGUGGCGAAGGCGGCCAUCUGGGACAACACUGACGCUGAAGCACGAAAGCGUGGGGAGCAAACAGA